GACGAACGCUGGCGGCGUGCUUAACACAUGCAAGUCGAACGGAAAGGCCCUGCUUUUGUGGGGUGCUCGAGUGGCGAACGGGUGAGUAACACGUGAGUAACCUGCCCUUGACUUUGGGAUAACUUCAGGAAACUGGGGCUAAUACCGGAUAGGAGCUCCUGCUGCAUGGUGGGGGUUGGAAAGUUUCGGCGGUUGGGGAUGGACUCGCGGCUUAUCAGCUUGUUGGUGGGGUAGUGGCUUACCAAGGCUUUGACGGGUAGCCGGCCUGAGAGGGUGACCGGCCACAAUGGGACUGAGAGACGGCCCAGACUCCUACGGGAGGCAGCAGUGGGGAAUAUUGCACAAUGGGCGGAAGCCUGAUGCAGCAACGCCGCGUGCGGGAUGACGGCCUUCGGGGUGUAAACCGCUGUCGCCUGUGACGAAGCGUGAGUGACGGUAAUGGGUAAAGAAGCACCGGCUAACUACGUG
rnacentral:rRNA from 1 species